rnacentral:rRNA from 1 species
UCUUAGAUAUAAACUAACCUUAUCUUUACCAGAGUACUACGAACAUUAAGUUUAAAACUCAAAGAGCUUGGCGGUGCUUUAGACUUCUCAGGGGAACCUGUCUCGUAAUCGACAAUCCACGAAUCAACCUCACCUCUCCUUGCAACCAGUAUGUAUACCGUCGUCGUCAGGUAACUUUUUAAAAUGUAGAAGUUAGCAACUAAAUGAAUUAAUUUCCACGUCAGAUCAAGGUGCAGCCUAUGGGGAGGAGCAGAUGGGUUACAAUUAAGAUUCAUAACUACGGAUUUAAUUCCUAACAAAUUUCUGAAGGCGGACUUGAAAGUAAAGCCCAGCAGUUAAAUGUCUUGAAUCAAGCUCUGAAGCG